rnacentral:misc_RNA from 1 species
AUUUUUUCUUUUUUCUUUUGUUUUUAUUUGUUUUUCUGUUUUUUUUUUUCGUAAAAGUGAAAAAGGUAAAAAAAACUCUUGAAGUGGUGUCAUCGUCAAUGUCAUCGUCGUGCACCACAUCGCCGUUCGUGAGCCUCGCCUUUUAAUACGAGGCUCGCGAGCAGUGAUCUAAGACACCCGGUGUUUUAUAUCGUGAUACGUGUUUUCUUCUAUACUCUGGACUUUGAUAAUUAGUCAAGUGUUAUAAUAAUAAUAAGAAGAAGAAGAGAUAAGAAGAAAGAAGAAUAGAAAAUAACGUUGAAACGGAGGGAGCGUGGAAAGUUCUUGGAUCUUUAUUAUGGUCAUCUGGAUAAACGAGGAGGAGAGAAGGAGGGACAGAGGAGAGCUGGUUACAAGGAGAACACCAAUGAAAAUGCUUCAAUCACUGAACGCCCUGGCGGGAAAAAUCUCGCCUAGUUCGCCUACCGACAGCAACGCUAAUAAGGUUCACAUGCAUAACAACAACAACGUCGUACACCAUCAUCAUCCAUAUUCGAAACAACAAACUCAACCCUCGCCGCCUGCAUCCCACUCGAGUAACAACAAUGAUCAAAAGGAGAACACCAUAAUGAACAAUAAUAGUGUUGAGCAGCCAGAUCCAGACAAUAUAAAGAUGUUCGUUGGGCAGGUACCACACGACAUGGAUGAAAACGAUCUUCGAACGUUGUUCGAAGAAUUUGGCAGAGUACAUCAGAUCAACGUUCUACGGGACAAAACUACUGGCAGUAGUAAAGGAUGCUGCUUUGUUACCUUUUACACGAGAAAAGCGGCUUUGGACGCACAGAAUGCAUUGCACAACGUAAAGACUUUCAACGGGAUGCGGCAUCCGAUCCAAAUGAAACCAGCAGAUAGCGAGAAUAGAAACGAACGCAAAUUGUUCGUUGGCAUGCUAUCGAAAAAAUACACGGAAAAUGAUGUCAGAACCAUGUUCAGCGUUUACGGAACGAUCGAGGAGUGUUCGGUGUUACGAGACAAUUCCGGACAAAGUAAAGGCUGUGCCUUCGUUACUUUCGCUAGUAAACAAUAUGCUAUCAACGCCAUUAAGGCCCUUCAUCAUUCGCAAACGAUGGAGGGAUGCUCAUCGCCGCUGGUUGUGAAAUUCGCUGACACGCAGAAGGAAAAGGAUCAAAAAAGAAUGCAACAAAUUCAAGCGAAUCUCUGGAAUAUCGCGGGAGUCAACAUGGCGCCGCAUUACCUGACGACGAGUGACGCGCAUACGUUAGCACCUACGUCGUUGCAAUUAUUGCAACAGUUGCAAGCGACGACGAGUGCGGCCACCCCGGUAGCUGCAGGCGCCGGAGCUAACGCUCUCUCGAGUGUUCAGCAUCAGCUGUUGUUACAGCAGCACCUUGGCUUAGGUGCAGCCACCCCCGCACACGCGGCCCCACCUGCCGUACCAAGUCCACCAGAGAUUAGCCCUGCCAAUCUCCAGGGUCUGGCAACAUUAGCGUCCCUCGGUAACUCCGCUGGUGAGUAUGCAAACGCUGGAGUAUCACCGAUGAGUAUGCAAAACCUUGUCACUUUGGCAGCCAUGACUGGCGGAAAUGGCAACCUUCAAGUGUCGCCAACGACGUUAAGCGGACUGGCGAAUUCGACAGCAGGUAUGUCGCUAUCUGCCCUUCUCGGGAAGACAGGAAGUACAGGGUCGACUGGUGGUAGCUUGAGUCCUGUGACGUCACUCGCGCUUAAUUCAUUGACAGGAGCACCUUUGAACGGACUACAGGAUUCUCUGAGUAACGCUUAUUCGAGCUUGCAGCAAUACGCAGCUCUCAUUGGAAAGACGACGGUGACCGUGGAAAAGAAAGAAUUGCAUAGGUUCCCGGCAUUCACGGCAGCAGCGGCCGCAGCAGCAGCGGCGGCACAAAAUUCGAGUUUCAAUGCCGCGGGCAAGCAAAUCGAGGGACCCGAAGGUGGUAACCUCUUCAUCUACCACCUACCACAGGAAUUUAGCGAUACCGAUCUCGCUUCUACCUUUCUACCUUUCGGCAAUGUCAUAUCCGCCAAAGUUUUCAUCGAUAAGCAGACGAAAUUGAGCAAAUGCUUCGGUUUCGUAUCGUACGACAAUUCGGCGAGCGCGCAAGCAGCGAUCCAGGCGAUGAAUGGUUUUCAAAUCGGCACGAAGCGAUUAAAGGUUCAAUUAAAACGAUCCAAGGAUGCUUCUAAGCCGUACUAGUUGACAUCAUCCUCGUACUACACGUUCGCAAUACAGGGCCGCCGUCGUUACGAUUACGAAGGAGCUAUCGGAAAACAGUAUUUCUUCCUCGUUCGGAAGACGUGCAGAACACAACACCAGGUGGCCUGUGACGUUGUGACCGUGUACACUCGAUCGGAGUCGCCGUGCCAUGUCAGUCUCAGUCAGUCAGUCAGUUAAUCAGUCAGUCACUCAGUCAGUCAGUCAAUCAAUCAAUCGAUCGAUCCAUCGAUCGGUCGAUCGAUCGAUCGAUCGAUUGAUGAUCGUCUUCGAUCGACGACCACAAGUCGAUUAAAAUCAGUCACGACUUCUUGGUCAAUCUCUCGAUCGGUCUCUCUGUGUCUGUCGGUGCGCUGCCUGUACAAAAAAAAAAACAAACCAAAAAAAAGAGAACAAAAAAUUUAUACAAAUCCCAUCUUUCUCUCUAAGAUUAACUGGCCACCAUCAUUGUUCCAAACAAAAAUUCCUGGCAAAUAAGAAGUCAAUUCUACUCCCGCACUUUUUCCCAUUCUUAUCCUUUGAAAAUAUGGUCCUCCUUCACCGAAAAAAAAGAAAAGAAAAGGAAAGAGAAAGAGAAAGAGAAAGAAAAAGAGAGAAAGAAAGAGAGAGAGAGAGAAAAAUAGAAAAAGGGAAAAAAACUCAACUGUGUGUGCCUGUGCCUGCGAAUUUAACGCGCAAAUCACCACCGUAGCGAUUUUAAACGUUCUCGGAUUAAAAAAAAAAAAAAUGUAAGGAAUCCUCGUUGUUGAUCGUCAAGACUUUGAAACUUCCUGUACAGUACAAAGUGUAUUACCCGGGGAUAAGAAAAUGAAGAGGAAGUGA